rnacentral:tRNA from 3 species
UCCCCUGUAGCUCAAUAGGCAGAGCAUUCGGCUGUUAACCGAAGGGUUGUUGGUUCGAGUCCAACCAGGGGAG